UGGAUCUUCGAUUAGUCAAGUUCAUCGUCGACACACUCAUCCAUGGCGCAUCGGACGGAUCCCACGAUACGUGACGCACUAAAUGGAAGCCAUAAGAUGCGCCUCAUGUAACGUACCAAACGACCAUAUUGUCGGUAGGUCGAGGCAACGCCUCAUCCCCAUAGCAAAGCUUCCGCAGGUAGCCUCAUUCCCACCACCGACAACGCUACGCUUUCAUUACGCUAACGUUACGUACGACGUCACUCGUUUGUUAUAUAUAUAUAAAUAUAUGUAUAUAGUUCACACAAAUAACAAAUGUAUAGAAUAUGUUUUUCUAAAGGACUGUAUAAGUUUUAAGAGACUUAUUUCUAUAAGUUACUAACAUUAUUAUACAAAAUAGACGAGCCCGACGUAAAGGGAGUCAUUAAUAAUACAAACUAAUUCUAUAAUAAAACGAACUGAUAUAUAUUUUUGGGAUAAUACUUUUUCGAUGAUUAUUCUUGUUUAUUCUCGGUUAUUUUUGAAAGUCAUUCUCGAAGGUUAUUCCUGACGGUAAUUGUAAAGUAUUAAUAAAUUAAUAUUGUUAAGUUAAAA